rnacentral:rRNA from 1 species
GUAGGUGGCUAGCGUUGUCCGGAAUUAUUGGGCGUAAAGCGCGCGCAGGGCGGUCCUUUAAGUCUGAUGUGAAAGCCCACGGCUCAACCGUGGAGGGUCAUUGGAAACUGGGGGACUUGAGUACAGAAGAGGAAAGCGGAAUUCCAAGUGUAGCGGUGAAAUGCGUAGAGAUUUGGAGGAACACCAGUGGCGAAGGCGGCUUUCUGGUCUGUAACUGACGCUGAGGCGCGAAAGCGUGGGGAGCAAACAGGAUUAGAUACCCUGGUAGUCCACGCCGUAAACGAUGAGUGCUAAGUGUUAGGGGGUUUCCGCCCCUUAGUGCUGCAGCUAACGCAUUAAGCACUCCGCCUGGGGAGUACGGCCGCAAGGCUG